rnacentral:lncRNA from 10 species
CCAGAACCUAACCAUGCUGGUGCCUGAUCUGAGACCUCAGCGCCUCCAGAGCUAUGAGAAAUGAAUUUCUAAACCCAGUCUAUGGUACUUUGCUGUAGCAGUCUGAACAGUCUAAGACAGGGAUGAAAAAGCUUCAAGGAGCAAGUUUGUGAACUGAGCCUGGAAGGAGGAGUAGGAUCUGACAAAGGGUUAGAAGAGGAAGGACUCCAAGCAGAAGGAGCAAACCUAGGAAAGAGACUGAGGGAAAAAUUCAGGAGACCAAACUCUCAUGCGCAGGAGGUUCAUGCUGAGGGGAGCAGGAAGCAGAGCUGGACUGGGGAGGCCUUGAAGGCAGGCAGAGCAAGGAGCCCCACCAGGUGACUGCUCAUUGGCCUCCCAGAUGGAUUCGAUGGUAUCGCUCAGAUGAUGGAACAAAAAAGAAAAAGAGAAAACACAAAUGUGACAUGUGAAAAAUAGGAAUGAAAGAGAAAGAUAAAAGAGAAGGAAAAUCUUCCCAGGUCUAGAAGAUACAUUCUCGUAUCGAAAGGGCCCAGCAGGUGCCCAGCACAACAAACCUAGGAAGACCAACACCAAGGCACAUCGCCACAGCAUUCAGAACACCAAGGAUAAAGAAAAGAUCUUCAGAGUUUCCUGAAGGAAAAAUGAAAAGGUCACAUUUAAAGGACUGGAAAUCAGAAUGGCAUGGAAAUUCUCCACAGAAUCCCAGGAAGCUGGAAUACAAUAGGGCAUUAACUUCAAAAUUCUGAAGAAAAUAAUUCUAACAUAGAAUUCAACUCUCACUAUAUUAGCUGUUUGUGGGUAGGAUGUAGAUAUUUUCAGAUAUCCUUAUCUCAGAAAGCUACUGGAGGAUAUUCUUCUCCAAAAUUAAGAAAUUAGCCAAGAAAGAGGAUAAUAUUUGGGACCUAAAAAACAGGAAGUCCCAGCUUAGGAGAGAGGAGAAGGGAAGUACUAGGACAGAAGCUAGGACUUAUACAGUAGGGGAUAGAGGCCUCUAGGAGAGAUGUUUCCAGAAGGAAGUGAAUCACAUGGAAUGCCUGUUAUGGAUGAAUAUCUUAAAAGGGAUCUUCAGAAUUUGAUGAUGAUAAGUAAUAGCUAGAUAGGAAAGUGAAUAAGGAAAUAAAUGAGGCCAUUAUUGAAUCUAGUGAAAACAAUAUGCAAAAAAGGAUAUAGCAUAUGUCUUGGCUGUGAAUAAAUAUGUAAUUAUAACAAGAUAAUUGCUGAAUGGGAGUUUAACCCAAAGGGGUGUUAUAAUUAUUUUUGAAAAAAGGGAGGUGACCUUACGUGUGUUUACAUAAAUGUGCAUGUGUCUAGGAAGUGAGGGUGGGAGAGUUAAAUCCUUGUCUUCUAGAGUUAGGAAGUCCAUAGACUAUACGCACAAUUGAAAAGUAAGGACAGAACAUUAAAUAUGUGUUCUUAGAAAAUAUGAGCAUAAGGCCGGGCACAUUGGCUCAUGCCUGUAAUGCCAGCACUUUGGGGGGCCAAGGUAAGAGGACUCUGUGAGCCCAGGAGUUGGAGACCAGCCUGGGCAACAUAGUGAGACCUCAUCUCUACAAAACAUUUUUAAAAAUUGGCCAGGCAUGGUGGCAUGCACCUGUAGUCCCAGCUACUUAGGAGGCUGAGGUGGGAGGAUCAUAUGAGCCCCAGAGUUUCAGUCUGCAGUGAGCUGGGAUUGUGCCACCACACUCCAGCCUGGGUGACAGAGUAGGACGCUGUCUCACACACAAAAAAAGGAAAAGAAAGUAGAGUAAAUUCUCUCAUAUACAAAAGAAAUAUAUAAGAGAUAAAUGUAAGAGAAGGAAUUGGGAGUGGGAGUGUGUGGUGUGGGCAACUACUAUUUUUGUUAACAAAUCUAGAAAUACCAUUUGAAUUUUAAGAUUAUAAAUAUUUGAUAUAAGGAAAAAUUUUUAAGUUUUAAAAAGUUAUUCACUAAUACAAGUGGUAGUAAGUGGCACGACUGUCACUCAAAUUCCAAUCUGUCUAAAUCUUGAAGCUUUAAAAAAUUGUUAUGACUACAGUACACUACAGCAAAGGGAAGGAAAAGUCAAAUAUUACUUCAAGGUCUCUUUCCUGGGAGACUACAAGAAAAGUUGCAUGCAGAAAUCAGUGUAACAAGAGCAAGAAGAGUUACGUAGGAUUAUCCACAUCCUGCUUCACCUCCUGCUUCAUAGCUCAGGCAAGCACUUCCCUGUGCUCUGCUGUGCACAGCCAGUUUAUCAGUGUGGGAAAAAAUCUAUAAAUAGGAUGGAGGUUUACAUAAAAGAGAAACAUAGGAAAAGAAAGGGGAAUAAAAAAGAAACUGUAGAGCGAAUUUGGGGGUUAAUGCAGAGGAAAAAGCUAAAGUGAGAGACAUCACAUCAGCUGUGAGAGAGAAACCCAGAAAAUGAAUGGCAGGGGCAUCUGGGACAGGUUUCUCUUGGUAACAAGUUGACCCUUUAAAUAGACUGCAAGAUGUAUUUGCAGUUUUUAUUUGGAUGCUGAAUGAAAUUUCUUUUGAGUAUAACAACCACAUGAGCUCAAGAUUUUAUUUGGGCAAUGAUAUGGUUUGGCUGUGUCCCCACCCAAAUCUCAUCUUGAACUGUAGUUCCUAUAAUCUCCACAUGUCAUGGGAAGGACCUGGUGGGAGGUAAUUGAAUCAUGGGGGCGGUUACCUCCAUGCUGUUCUCUUGAUAGUGAUUGAGUUCUCAUGAGACCUGAUGGUUUUAUAAGGGGCUUUUCCCCUGCGUCACUCCACAUUUCUCCUUGCUGCUGCCAGGUGAAGAAGGACUUGUUUGCUUCCCCUUCCAACACGAUUGUAAGUUUCCUGAGGCCUCCCUAACCAUGCUGAACUGUGAGUCAAUUAAACCUCUUUCCUUUAUAAAUCACCCAGUCUCAGGUAUGUC